rnacentral:rRNA from 1 species
AUUGAACGCUGGCGGCAUGCCUUACACAUGCAAGUCGAACGGUAACAGGUCUUCGGAUGCUGACGAGUGGCGAACGGGUGAGUAAUACAUCGGAACGUGCCUAGUAGUGGGGGAUAACUACUCGAAAGAGUGGCUAAUACCGCAUGAGAUCUACGGAUGAAAGCAGGGGAUCGCAAGACCUUGUGCUACUAGAGCGGCCGAUGGCAGAUUAGGUAGUUGGUGGGAUAAAAGCUUACCAAGCCGACGAUCUGUAGCUGGUCUGAGAGGACGAUCAGCCACACUGGGACUGAGACACGGCCCAGACUCCUACGGGAGGCAGCAGUGGGGAAUUUUGGACAAUGGGCGAAAGCCUGAUCCAGCAAUGCCGCGUGCAGGAUGAGGGCCUUCGGGUUGUAAACUGCUUUUGUACGGAACGAAAAGCCCCGGGUUAAUACCCUGGGGUCAUGACGGUACCGUAAGAAUAAGCACCGGCUAACUACGUGCCAGCCGCCGCCGUAA